AUCUACGACCAUAUCACCCUGAACAUACCUGAUCUCGUCUAAUCUCAGAAACUAAGUAGGGUUGGGCCUGGUUAGUACUUGGAUGGGAGACAUGAAAAUAUUUAAAAUGCAAAUU
rnacentral:rRNA from 1 species